GGGCCAAAUUUCCCCGCUGUUUGGAAGCCCAUUUGUCGAGGCAGGAUGUCCCGAGCCCUGAGAUUUCCCCGGGCCAGCUCCUCCCCACCUCGAGGAUCCGGGCGAGGCUUCCCCUUCUCUCCCCCGAGCGGCGUCGCGGGCGAAUCGACGCAAGGAAAAGAAGGUACCUCGCCGCCGCCGCUCCUUCUCCAUCCAGGCGUUGUCGUCCCGCCUCCGUCCAGGCGCCUCCGCCCCUCCGCCUCCGUUCAGGCGCCGCCGCCCCUCCGCCUCCGCCCAGGCGCCGCCGCCCCUCCGCAUCCGCACCCAGGCACCGCCGACCCGCCUCCCCGUCGACCGCAGCGCCGGCACAGCGACACCUCGACCUAGGCCGCGCCCUCUGCAUCCACACAGCACCUCCACCUUGUCUUCCUCGUCGCCACAUGACUACAACAUUCGCUCCACUCCAACUCCAGCAAAGGAAGGUCUUGCUGCAGCCUCCCAGUCUCUGGUCCCUCAAAGGAUUCCAACAGGUAACUAUUUCUAUUUAGUAUUUGUGACUACCCAGCAGUCUGUUUUUCAGUCACUCCAUUAAAAAUGGAAGCACCUGGUUUCUGCAAGUUGUAAUGUUCAAGGAAAAUGAAGCAUGAAGAUAAUGAUGCCAGCUGAGCAUUUUUAGUACAUUCUUAAGGUGAAACCUCCAAGUAUUCAGUUGUCAUUUCACUGAACCUAACAUCCUUUCGUUUUGCUGAAUCUGUACUUCAGUUUGAUUUCGCAAGCAAAGCAAACAUUAUUUUUCCCCUUGAGGCUUCCUGCUGUCUAGCUUGCAUCCUGCUCGAAUUCAGUUCCAUAGCUACCAUACCUAAUUUAAAACUAUUUUUCCCAAUGCUUGUCACCCUGUCGUGUAGACAAGGCUUGAUUAUCCGUUAUUCAUAUGCCUUGUAACUUUUCAACAUUUUCUAAAUUUCUUAGGUAUUUUAAUUUGCUGAAUUGUUCAUUCAAGUUCCAGAACUUGUUGACAACACACUUCCUCAUUUGUCUGAACCUUUUUGUAAAGUUCGUUAUUCUAGUCGGAAUUGUUUUACCUAAGCUUCAUAUUUUUUUCUAUGAAUUCAUGUCAUAGAAGAAACGACCUUUUUUUCCCAAUGCUUGUCGUCUUGUCGAGUCAGCUGCUGGAAAUAGCAGAGCACCAACCGUCAAUAGUUGAUCAGGUUUUGUGUAUGAACAAAUAUAAAUUAGUAAUGUUUCAAGGAUAAUAUUGGCAUCCACAGCCUACAGGCCUGUCAGGCAGUUCAUCUCCUUGAGUUUAAGGUUUGCUCAUCUCCUCCAUUUUUAAAUAUAUGACAUUUAGGACAAUCAAAUUAGUUAGUUCAUUUUUGAACUAAAUAGCUUAUCCUAAAUAUCAUAUAUUUAUGGACAGUGGUAUUACUACAACUAUCUUUUCUGUGCUUUCUUGAGUUUCCAUUGGUGAGCAAUAUUAUGUCUUAAUUUUUAUGUUUUUACUUUGUCAAUUGGACCUCAUCAUUUUUAUCCCGUUUGAUUGGAACAACUAGAUUAUUUCUAACUAUUAUAUCCGUCAGAUACAAGUUGAAUCAGCUAGCCGAGUAUUCCAGGUUCUCUUUGAACCCAUCAAGAAACGGGGUACUUUAUUCUUGGAAGAGCUUGGCUUGCCAUCAGAUGUCUUAUACCCUAGCAUGAUCGCAACAAUAGUUAACUUUUGCAUGAAUUAGAUUGAUCUGGUUGUAUGGAUGGAAGGACUGUAAUUUGAAUAUCUGCUCAGAUUGUAUCUAUUUAUCUUGUAAUGUUGAUAAUAAAGAUCGUGUAACUAUUGCAUUUAAUAAAGUUGCUUGCUAAACGGGAAA